UAUUCCACAGAUAUUUUCGUCCCCCUCCCUCCCUCCCUCUCUACUAAUGUCUCUCUCUACUCGCUCUUCUUCCAUCCAAAUUUUCAUGUCUCCUCAAAUGAAGCAGAUUUCUUAGAAUCUCCUUCAAAUUUCUCUUUAUUGUUUCCCUCCGAUUAUCCCACAGAUUUUCCUCUAUUUAUUUUCCUCUUCUGAUUUUAAUACCUUUCCCUUUCCAAUCUAGACUGUUCAGUUGGCUUUUCUAAACUAUUUAUAGCCUCUGUAAGCUUUACAUUUACGAUUAAAUGCUGCUUUCUUCAAAAAGAUAUUUUAGGGUGGCAACGGAGCUGGAUGGAAGCGCCUGAUGCUUUUCGCUUUUAGCUGGUCCCAAUCCCAUUGCAGAUAAAAGAGGACAGUUGCGGUUAGCAGAGGUCCAGUGUAAGAUAUGAUGCUACACCUUAAAGCUUGAAUGAAUCAAUAAGGCUUAGUUGUGUUGAGUUCGUAUGCUUUAUCAUAUGCGUAUUCAUUUAUUCAAUUGAGCCGAAGACAUGACAUGUUAGUUGACAUAUAUUUGUGUUUUUAAUUUCAGUUUAUCCUGCUAAUUUAGAACAAUAACACAGAUGUGUUUUAAUUUCAUAGGUCUACACUUUGAAGCUUAAUGAAGUAUGUUUCUGUGGUAGAAACAACUUCAUUAUGCAUACUCUCUUAUUAACCUAUGAUAUGUGUUAUUGUGUUGUUUCAAAUGCAAGUCAUUUGUUGAUUGUGUAGCACAAUCUUGCCAGUCAUUAUCUGCUGCUUUUAAAUUUGAGGAUAUCUAUAGUAGAUAGGAUUUUCAUGCAGCUAAUAACCGGCAGAACCAUUGCCGUUGUCUAACUUUUUAUACUUAUCGUGUGCUUUAAAUAUCAGAAUCCAGUCAAGGAAUGUUAA